AGCAAGAGGAAAUCACUCAACAAUUUUGAAGAAACUCUAGCUCAAUGCGUAGCAUGACAUUAAGGAAACUGGAGCUGGCUUCAGAAUGGCGAAGACUGGAGUUGCUGUGGGUCUGAGCGCAUGAACUCCACAUGAAGCAACAGGAACUUGCAGAUUUCCUUCUAGGUGGAUUUAAAGAAUGCUAUUCACAUGUUUCCACACUUCAGACACCAAAUUAACCAAAAGAGAAUUAGAGAAGGGAAGUAUUGAUUACUAAGGCUGGAAAGUUGGAAUCGACCGAAGCAUUUUGGGGAGAUUCCGUGAUGUUUGAAAUUGUUUCCAUAGCUCUGUGUUUUAAAAGAUGACUCAAGUUAACGGCAACCAUCUAGGGUAAAAUCAAAUCCUCAUAAAAUGGAAGCAUUUUUCUGCAAGCGCUUGUUUCAACGGAUCAAGAAAACAGCCAGUCAAAAUAUUUGUACGACUUAAACGUGCAUUUUGUCCUUGGUCACUGGAAUGUUGUUCUGGAUAUGUAAGCAUGCAAAUAUGCCACAUAAAGUAAUUGCUUUCUAAUAGCAAACAUCUGUUUUUAAACAAGAUUUAUGACAAGGUUAUCCCAAAUAGAAUAAAUAAAGCUAUGCAUAUUUGAAUUUGAAAA